rnacentral:lncRNA from 1 species
UUUAUUCUUAAAUUGAAAUCGGAGUAAACCAACAACACGAUUAGUCAGUUUUAUCCAUGUCACCCACAAUCACGUGUGGGUCCUAUGCAGAAACACUUUCAUCUUUUCUUCUCCGGUCUCGAAGCAACCAGCAAGCCGAUUUCGCCGCGCUCCGACGAUAAAAGAAGUCAACAAUCUCCGGAUUGUUACCAAAAAUGGAUCACUCUUAUCGGUACCUACUCUCACAAAUCCUAAUCACUUUCCUCAUCUUUAUCCUCGUCCAUUCUUUCUUUCUUUCCGCCCAAUCUACUAAUUCACCUUCCCGUAGGUUUCACUUCCCCCUCCCUCCUCCUCCUCCUCCUCCUUCUCCUCCUCUUCCUCCUCCUCCUCCUUUUCCUCCUCCUCCUUUUCCAGUUCAGAAACACGAUGAUAGCAAAAGAGGGGUGAGCCAUGGAGAGGCGGUGGGGUUGGUGUUCAUCGUGAUUGGGUUUUCCAUGCAGUUCGUUUUCGUUUCGUUUUUGGUGUAUCAGAGGAGGAGGAUUUGGAGUCUCGCCCAUCGAAAUGAUCCAUCUCCUUCCCCGGAAUCAACUUCGCGAUCUGCUUCUGCUUGAUUUACUACUACUUUUUCGAAGGAUUUGGAAGAUAACAACUUAACUGUUUUGAUACUGCACAAAUACACAAUCUCAGAUUCCCAAACAGUGAUUGCUAUUUUGCAAAUAGGUAAAUACUUUGUUCUCUGUUUAUCUAUCUAUCUAUUCAUUAUCAUCUCUAUACAUCUGUCUAUAUGAUAAAUCAUUUGUUACAAUUUUGAAUACUUGCCUAUCUAUUUAAUUUUGUUACUUGUGGUGAUUUCAGAACACCAUCAAUUAUCUGUAAAUCAUUGAACACCAUCAUCCAUGAUGGGGGUUUGAAUUCAGAAGUCUGGAUUUCUAUACAUAUAUUAUUCGAAUUUUGGGUUUGUUUUAGAUUUUGAAAAUUAAGAUUCCUAGGAUAUUUAUACCUAAAAAGUUGCUUGGUCCAGAGUCCAGAGUUUUUUUUAAUCUUUGUUCCCUUUGUGGGAUUGAAAGAAUGGGCCUCUGGCACAUGGAACCCUAUUCUUUCUGUUCUUUAGGUUAGGUUUCAGUUCAGAUUUCAGAUCAAAUCAGAUAGGACAAAAACAGACUCUAGUGAAAGAAGAUUUCAUUUCGUCAUCACAUACAUACUUAAGACUUGGUUAGACACUAUACAUCCCAUCAAGAACAUGACAGCAACAAAACCUAAGAAUAGAAUGGAGAAUCAAAUAGAUAGAUAAGUACUGACAUAACAUAACGUAGAUAGAGAGAUAAAUUACAUUCAUAAUCCAUUUUCACUUGUUAUUUAGUUGAUAGAUCAGUUAAAGAUUGGAGUUGAAAUGGAGAGUUGGGUAUUGGAGAAAGAUGAUUCCUUCUCAUUGCUGUCAUGUUGGUCCUUGGAAGCAGCCUCAAGCAACUUGAAAUCUGCACCAAGCACAAAGCAGUGUUGUUGGUGCUGCUUCUCCUCCUCUACCUGACCAGUCACCAUGUAUCCUUCUUUGGUCAGAUUUGCGGUUGUAUAGCAGUCUUGCUGUUGUUGAUGAAGAUAAGUUGAAGAUGGCGGGGAUCCCAUUCCUAGAGGUGUGAAACUCAAGGAACCACUGAAUCUCUCAGUUUCUUCUCCCUCUAUUCCAUGAAAAUACCUGUUUUUGUGUGUGUGUUAGUCAAAUGAAACCAGAACUAAAGUAAUUAAUAAACAAUACUGAAGUUCAAUAUUGAUUAAGUACAUGGCAUACCUCAGAUCUCUUUCAGACUUUUCAGUGGAGGUGGAAGCAGAACCAGGAGAAGGUCUAGGGUAGCAGUAUGGAUAGAAUGGCAGGUGGGUAUUGGUGGUUGUGUUUUCCAUGGAAGAAAUAGAAACUUUGUGGUUGGUGUUGGUGUUGUUUCUAGGAGUUUCCACAGGCUUUCUUGAACGACUCUUGCCUCUAAGCAUGUGCCUCUCACAAUACUUGGAAUCUGGAUGUGCUGCCUUGGAACACCUCCAUUUCUUCCCAUCUGUUCUCCUGCAUCUUCCUGGCUCUGGGUCUUCCACUUUUCUCCCAUACCCCCAUCCUACUUCAAAGUUGAAAACAAAACAACAACAAUAAGAAUAAUAAGAAGAAAUAAGAGUGCAUGCAAUCUAUCUAUCCAUUAUAUAUAUAUAUAUAUCUUACUUGUGUUGUUGUUAGGGUGUUGGUGAGGGGAGAAGAUGGACGAUGAUACUGAAGAAGAGAUGGAGUCCAAGAGGAUACUUCUUCUCAUGUGAAGUACGAGGUCAGAAGGAAUGGGGAGACCGGAUGCCAUGCACUUGAAAAUGAUAGCUUGGUUUUCCAACUCC